rnacentral:tRNA from 1 species
UAUAGUUUAACAAAAACACUAG